CAGUCGCCACGGUAAUACGUAGGUGGCAAGCGUUGUCCGGAAUUAUUGGGCGUAAAGGGCUCGCAGGCGGUUUCUUAAGUCUGAUGUGAAAGCCCCCGGCUCAACCGGGGAGGGUCAUUGGAAACUGGGAAACUUGAGUGCAGAAGAGGAGAGUGGAAUUCCACGUGUAGCGGUGAAAUGCGUAGAGAUGUGGAGGAACACCAGUGGCGAAGGCGACUCUCUGGUCUGUAGCUGACGCUGAGGAGCGAAAGCGUGGGGAGCGAACAGGAUUAGAGACCCGUGUAGUCCCUGUCUCUUAUAC
rnacentral:rRNA from 1 species